GCUGGGUACAAAAGAGCACAUGGGUUCUGAAGACCAGGACUAUGCUCCUAUCUCUGUUGUGCAUGUGGAAGCCCACAGCAGAACUUAACACUGGGAAACAGUACACAGUACCUAAGAAUUCCUGGCCGCCUUUCUUUCCUCUCCUCUCAGCUCUGCCGUCCUUCCGCAAGGCCAUAAUCACCACCAGUGAGGGCUGUAAAUGUGAUAAAUGAGACUCAGAGAAGUGAAAAAACAUGCCUGAUUCUCACCCAGCUGUGGAUGAAGCUGGAAUCU
rnacentral:lncRNA from 1 species